rnacentral:lncRNA from 1 species
GUGCUGCCGCCUAUCAGUCACUCAGUCGCCUGGAGUCGGAGUUGCUAUUUCUAGGCUUGUGCUUGUUGGGUUCGGGGUAAAUAGCCACAGAAGGCUACCAAACAAGAUAAGUCAUUGUCUCCAAGUAGAAGAAAACCAAGACCCAUGAGUGGGCAUCGGUCAACAAGGAAACGAUGUGGAGAUUCUCACCCAGAGUCCCCUGUGGGCUUCGGGCAUAUGAGUACUACAGGGUGUAUAUUAAAUAAAUUGUUUCAGUUACCGACACCACCACUGUCAAGACACCAAUUAAAACGGCUAGAAGAACACAGGUAUCAGAGUGCUGGACGGUCCCUUCUCGAGCCCUUAAUGCAAGGAUACUGGGAAUGGCUAGUUGGAAGAGUACCCUCAUGGAUUGCCCCAAAUCUCAUCACCAUCAUUGGACUAUCAAUAAAUAUCUGUACAACUAUUUUGUUAGUCUUCUACUGCCCUACAGCUACAGAGCAGGCACCUCUGUGGGCUUACAUCGCCUGUGCUUGCGGCCUUUUCAUUUACCAGUCACUGGAUGCUAUAGACGGGAAACAGGCCAGAAGAACUAACAGUAGCUCUCCUUUGGGAGAACUUUUUGAUCAUGGCUGUGACUCACUAUCAACAGUUUUUGUGGUUCUUGGAACGUGUAUUGCAGUGCAACUUGGGACAAAUCCUGACUGGAUGUUUUUUUGUUGUUUUGCUGGGACAUUCAUGUUCUACUGUGCACACUGGCAAACAUACGUUUCUGGAACAUUGCGAUUUGGAAUAUUGGAUGUUACAGAGUCCCAGAUCCUAAUUAUAUUAUUCCAGCUUCUCUCAGGAACCGUGGGGCCUUGGUUCUGGAACUUCACGAUUCCAGUGCUGAAUAUCCAAAUGAAACUUUUUCCUGCACUUUGUACUGUGGCAGGGACCAUAUUUUCCUGUACAAAUUACUUCCGUGUAAUCUUCACAGGUGGUGUUGGCAAAAAUGGAUCAACCAUAGCAGGAACAAGUGUCCUUUCUCCUUUU